rnacentral:rRNA from 1 species
UACGUAGGGGGCGAGCGUUGUCCGGAAUCAUUGGGCGUAAAGCGCGCGUAGGCGGUCAGGUAAGUCCGGUGUGAAAGUCAUAGGCUCAACCUAUGGAUGCCGCUGGAAACUGCCUGACUUGAGUCCGGAAGGGGCGAGUGGAAUUCCUGGUGUAGCGGUGAAAUGCGCAGAUAUCAGGAGGAACACCAAUGGCGAAGGCAGCUCGCUGGAACGGUACUGACGCUGAGGCGCGAAAGCCAGGGGAGCAAACGGG